rnacentral:misc_RNA from 1 species
GGUGAAGAACGUAGCGAAAUGCGAUACGUAAUGUGAAUUGCAGAAUUCAGUGAAUCAUCGAGUCUUUGAACGCACAUUGCGCCCUCUGGUAUUCCGGAGGGCAUGCCUGUCCGAGCGUCAUUGCUGCCCUCAAGCACGGCUUGUGUGUUGGGCUCCGUCCCCCGAUCCCGGGGGACGGGCCCGAAAGGCAGCGGCGGCACCGCGUCCGGUCCUCGAGCGUAUGGGGCUUUGUCACCCGCUCUGUAGGCCCGGCCGGCGCUUGCCGAUCAACCAAAUUUUUAUCCAGGUUGACCUCGGAUCAGGUAGGGAUACCCGCUGAACUUAAGCAUAUCAAUAAGCGGAGGA